rnacentral:rRNA from 1 species
GAACAGAGGUCCUCGGGGUGCGCGCACAUGUGCUGCAUGGCUGUCGUCAGCUCGUGCCGUGAGGUGUUGGGUUAAGUCCCUCAACGAGCGCAACCCCUGUGGUCGGUUGCAAGUUUCCGACCAGACUGCCACGAUCAACGUGGAGGAGGGUGGGGAUGACGUCAAGUCGGCACUGACCUGACAUCCUGGGCGACUCUCACUCUACAGUGGCCCGAACACAGGGGAGCCAAGCCCCGAGGGGGAGCCAAUCCUGACGGAUCACCGUCUCACUUCGGAUGGGAGGCUGCUACUCUCCUCCGUGAAAUGGGAGUUGCUAGAAACUGGGGGUCAUAACACCGCCGUAUCUCCGCUCCCGGGUCUUGUACUCACCG